AUAAAGCACUUCUGUUUGAACGACAGGACAGACAGUGCUAACGCGCAGACCGAAGCGAGUAGACGACAGGAAUGAAGUCCGAUAUGGCUUUAAGAUGUUUGCUGUUGGCCCUCGUACCCGUUGUCUACGGCAACACUUGGUGGAACUCGGAGGCUGCUGCUGCCGCAGCCAAUUAUCCCCAAGAAACACGGAUUAAGUUGUGUUCGGCUAAGAAAACAUGCCCUAGUGGUCAACAAAAGUUAUGUUUGUUUGAAGGAAACGUACGUGUUUAUACCACAUUCAAAGAGAAGUGU
rnacentral:lncRNA from 1 species